rnacentral:lncRNA from 1 species
GUUGGUGUGCAGAUACUUUGUGUGGACGUUGCAUGCUUCUUUUUUUUGAUUUUCAGCAUCCACAUAUAAGUAACGCAUGUAGAUGCCUACACAUUAAGGUGCACCUUUUAUGUGCGAGAAUCUGCACAUAUGAAACUGAAAAAGAUAGAAAAUUUUCUCCAUAUUUUUAAGAAAGCCUUUAAUUUGAGAAAGAAAUAAUUUUUUUUAUGGUAGAU